AACACAGUUUAAAGGGCAUCGAUGUUCCAAGAGUGAGAUUGUGUAAUAAAAGCAGAGAGCUGCUUCCCCUGAACAUCAGCUUGAAUAUUGAAAUAAGUUGGCUGAUUUGUUAUUGGAAGAGAAGAUAUCCAUGGAUCCAUCAUAAAAUUGACUUAAGACCCAUCUAAAAGAGCCCAUUGAAAGUGGUAUGCGAUAGGAGCAGCAUUGGUAACAAUUUUACACCAAAUGGAAGAAGAUCUGCAUGGUGGAAUAUAGUGACCCCAAAACUCAAAAAAAAUGAUAUUUAGAGCUGGCCAAUUGGGCCCAAAG
rnacentral:lncRNA from 1 species